rnacentral:misc_RNA from 1 species
AAGUCGUAACAAGGUUUCCGUAGGUGAACCUGCGGAAGGAUCAUUAACGAGUUAGGGUCUUUUAGGCCCGACCUCCCAACCCUAUGUUUAUUGAACCUCUGUUGCUUCGGCGGACCCGUCUCACGGCCGCCGGAGGACUGCCGCGAGGCGUCCUCUGGCCAGCGUCCGCCGAUGGCCAACCAAUUAAACUCUGAAUGAAUCGUGUCAUAUGUCUAAGUCUAUGAUUAAAUUAAAGCAAAACUUUCAACAACGGAUCUCUUGGUUCUG